GACGAACGCUGGCGGCGUGCUUAACACAUGCAAGUCGAGCGGGGUCCAUCUUGUCGCAAGACAAGGGAAGACCUAGCGGCGAACGGGUGAGUAACACGUGAGCAACCUGCCCCGAAGACUGGGAUAACACCGGGAAACCGGUGCUAAUACCGGAUACCCUCAAUGAGUCGCAUGGCUCGAUGAGGAAAUGGAUUCCGCUUCGGGAGGGGCUCGCGGCCUAUCGGCUUGUUGGGGGGUAACGCCUACCAAGCUCCGACGGGUAGCUGGUCUGAGAGGACGACCAGCCACACUGGGAC
rnacentral:rRNA from 1 species